AAUGCAAUCUUGAGGAGUUAAUCCCCACAUUUGAAGCACAGGAGCGAACCUUUCCUCGUUUUUAGGUCAAUUUGAAUACAAUUCAGAGGGGUGGCAUGGGGGCGCAGUGGGUAGUGCUGU